ACUGUAAUAGAAAUGAUGUCAUUUCCUGAAGAGGGCUUGCGUGCGCCUAUGAAAUUUGAAAAAAAUGUGCUGGAUUAAUCGAAUAGUUGCCCAUAAUGUCGCAUUUUUUGAGUAUUUAACCUACUGCUAUUUUUAAGAACGUGAUUGUUUUUUUGGAUUAAAAAAUAAAUAAAUGAAGUUUGGAAAUGAUUGCGCUUGCAAUGAUGUCAUUUCCUUGCGGAUGCCUGUAGCAGUUGACAGCCAAGUUGUUGACAAUUUGCUUCCACGGUGAAAUUGUUCUCUCCUUGUCCUUAUUGGUGUCGCAGGGGAAAAGAAAGUAUUUCAACGGAGUGCAUGGGACGUGAUGCAGCUCAACACAGAUUGUAAUGGAGGACGAUGCUAAGGAGAGGAUGAUGGAACAUGCUGACAGUCACGGUGUGCGGCCUCACCAUGGAAAAUUACAUUGAAAGUUCCUGCUGAAUGGGCCAUGCUAAACGUACAGCUCAGCUACAGCACGACGAUGAACAGCCACAUUACAGGU